rnacentral:rRNA from 1 species
AGGGCGCAUGGCGGAUGCCUUGGCUCUCGGAGGCGAUGAAGGACGUGAUAAGCUGCGAUAAGCUUUGGGGAGGUGCAAAUGACCUUUGAUCCAGAGAUUUCCGAAUGGGACAACCCAAUAUCUUGAAGAGGUAUUAUCCAACGUUGUUGGAGGCUAACGCAGGGAACUGAAACAUCUUAGUACCUGCAGGAAAAGAAAAUAAACAAUGAUUCCCCCAGUAGUGGCGAGCGAACGGGGAACAGCCCAAACCAUCCAUGUUACGGCAUGGGUGGGGUUGUAGGACUACGCCGUUGCAUGAAGACAUCAGAGAAGAACUUUCUGGAAAGAAAGACCAUAGAGCAUGACAGUUGCGUAUUCGAAUGUUGUCGAAGCAUAGUAGUAUCCUGAGUAGCGCGGAGCACGAGGAAUUCUGCGUGAAUCUGCCGGGACCAUCCGGUAAGGCUAAAUACUCCCGAGAGACCGAUAGCGAACCAGUACCGUGAGGGAAAGGUGAAAAGCACUUCGAACAGAAGAGUGAAAUAGUUCCUGAAACCGUGCGCCUACAAGCGGUCGGAGCUCGUUAAUGAGUGACGGCGUGCCUUUUGCAUAAUGAACCUACGAGUUGCCUUUGCCGGCAAGGUUAAGUGUGACGACACACGUAUCCGAAGCGAAAGCGAGUCUGAACAGGGCGUAUAGUCGGCAGUGGCAGACGCGAAACCAAGUGAUCUACCCUUGGCCAGGUUGAAGGCUGGGUAACACCAGCUGGAGGACCGCACCAAUAAGCGUUGAAAAGCUUCUGGAUGAGCUGAGGGUAGGGGUGAAAGGCUAAUCAAACUUGGAGAUAGCUCGUACUCCCCGAAAUGCAUUUAGGUGCAGCCUUGCGGGUUACUGAUGUGAGGUAGAGCGACUGAUAAGAUGCGAGGGCUUCACCGCCUAUCAAGUCUUGACAAACUCCGAAUGCGCAUCAGUUCUACCGCAGGAGUGAGGGCAUGGGUGCUAAGGUCCGUGCCCGAGAGGAGAAGAAUCCGGACCACCUGCUAAGGUCCCGAAAUGACAGCUAAGUUAAACUAACGAAGUCUGACUGCUAAGACAGCUAGGAUGUUGGCUUGGAAGCAGCCAUUCAUUUAAAGAGUGCGUAACAGCUCACUAGUCGAGGAGUCGGGCGUGGAUAAUAAUCGGGUAUGAAGUUGUCUACCGAAGCAGUGGGAUCAUUUAUAUGAUCGGUAGGGGAGCAUUCCAGUCGGCGUCGAAGGCGUACCGUGAGGUAUUCUGGAGCGUCUGGAAAAGCAAAUGUAGGUAUAAGUAACGAUAAAGGGGGCGGGAAACCCCCUCGCCGAAAGACUAAGGUUUCCUGAUCAACGCUAAUCGGAUCAGGGUCAGUCGGGUCCUAAGGCUCAGCCGAACGGCGAUGCCGAUGGCAGAAACGGUUAAUAUUCCGUUACUACCUUCAGGAGUGACGUGGAGACGCAGUAGUGACAGUGCCGCCAUCUGACGGAAUAGAUGGUUGAAGGGUGUAGGAGUCGAUCAUGGCAGGCAAAUCCACCAUGAGAUCCGAACCUGACAGUAUGCCGCGUCCUUCGGGACAAGGCAAUAGUGCGCGUAAGCAUGCUGCCGAGAAAAUCCGCUAAACUUAAUCCUGCAGGUACCCGUACCGCAAACGGACACACGUAGUCGGGAUGAAUAUUCUAAGGCGCUUGAGUGAUUCACGGUUAAGGAACUAGGCAAACUGACCCUGUAACUUCGGGAUAAAGGGUCCCUACCCUUUUAUGGGAGGGCGCAGAGAAUCGGUCCAGGCAACUGUUUAACAAAAACACAGGGCUGUGCCAAAUCGAAAGAUCCAGUAUACAGCCUGACACCUGCCCGGUGCUGGAAGGUUAAGAGGAGAUGUCAUCGAUAAGAGAAGCGUUGAAUUGAAGCCCCAGUAAACGGCGGCCGUAACUAUAACGGUCCUAAGGUAGCGAAAUUCCUUGUCGGGUAAGUUCCGACCUGCACGAAUGGUGUAAUGAUCUGGACGCUGUCUCAACCGUGAGCUCAGUGAAAUUGUAGUAUCGGUGAAGAUGCCGAUUACCCGCGAUGGGACGAAAAGACCCCGUGAACCUUUACUAUAGCUUAACAUUGAAUUUGGGUAAUUGAUGUGUAGGAUAGGCCGGAGACUUUGAAGCAGGUACGCCAGUAUUUGUGGAGUCGCUGUUGAAAUACGGCCCUUUGAUUAUUUGAGUUCUAACUCGUAGAUACGAGGACACUGUUUGGUGGGUAGUUUGACUGGGGUGGUCGCCUCCAAAAGUGUAACGGAGGCUUCUAAAGGUGCCCUCAGGACGAUUGGUAACCGUCCGUAGAGUGUAAUGGCAUAAGGGCGCUUGACUGGGAGACAGACAAGUCGAUCAGGUAGGAAACUAGAGCAUAGUGAUCCGGUGUUUCCGUAUGGA